UCUGAAAUCAAUUUUUAAAAGAAGUACAUUGUAAGUGCAAGUAUUUGGAAACUGUGUUAGAGCAAGGUCUGAGCACUGGGCUGAUCCCACAGCUUGAAAGAGAAAGAACACAAUUAUCGCUUACACCUUCCCCUCUACUUCCACUUCUGAAACUCCAUUGCACAGUCAGGAACAGAACAAGAGCAUGGGAAACCAAAAUCACAGUUAAUAAAACGUAAGUAAGAUUCGGAAUAUGUUUCAAGAUGGCUUGCUUCGGAAUAGACCUAUUUUUUAUGCUUUGAGGAUUCCAGACUGAAUAACAGGAUUAUGAAGUAAGCCUCCGCUCAGAAAAA